CAUGCAAGUCGAACGGUAACAGGCAUUAGUGAUCCCUUCGGGGUGAUCUUGGCGCUGACGAGUGGCGAACGGGUGAGUAAUGCUUGGGAAUCUGCCCUGUAGUGGGGGACAACCCGAGGAAACUCGGGCUAAUACCGCGUAAGCUCCACGGAGGAAAGCGGGGGAUCUUCGGACCUCGCGCUAUAGGAUGAGCCCAAGUCGGAUUAGCUUGUUGGUGGGGUAAUGGCCUACCAAGGCGACGAUCCGUAGCUGGUCUGAGAGGACGAUCAGCCACACUGGGACUGAGACACGGCCCAGACUCCUACGGGAGGCAGCAGUAGGGAAUAUUGGACAAUGGGCGCAAGCCUGAUCCAGCAAUGCCGCGUGUGUGAAGAAGGCCUGCGGGUUGUAAAGCACUUUCAGUGGGGGAGACAAACUCGAGGUUAAUACCCUCGGGUCUCGACGUUACCCACAGAAGAAGCACCGGCCAACUCCGUGCCAGCAGCCGCGGUAAUACGGAGGGUGCGAGCGUUAAUCGGAAUUACUGGGCGUAAAGCGCACGCAGGUGGCUGGGCCAGUCGGUUGUGAAAUCCCCGGGCUUAACCUGGGAAUUGCGAUCGAAACUGCCCGGCUAGAGCAUGGGAGAGGGAAGUGGAAUUCCCGGUGUAGCGGUGAAAUGCAUAGAUAUCGGGAGGAACACCAGUGGCGAAGGCGGCUUCCUGGCCCAAUACUGACA
rnacentral:rRNA from 1 species